GGAAUCACUGACGAAAGUGUCGGAGAUGGCGCCGUGGGCUUUCGUUAUCAUCGCAUUGGUACCGGCUGUCGUCGUCGGUCAGGUAGAGCCGAGGCAAGGGGCACCGCAUCUCGCUGGCAGACUUGGGAAGGCUCGGUCACAGAACUCCAUUCCUCUCUUCUUGCAAGGCCGGCAGUCCAAUUCCGCGGAAUGCUAUGGCUUUUGCAAGGGAAUGAUAGGUGGCUGCGAAACCCAUCCUCGGUGUGUUUGUGUCCCUCUCAUCGGUGGUCAACGUCGGGUGUGCGCCCCGAGGUACGGUUAAUGAUAAUCAGCAACCGAGAAGCAGAAAUCAGCCUCGCAAUAAAAAAAAAUGUUGCCUCCUCGAA